ACGUAGGGAGCGAGCGUUGUCCGGAAUUAUUGGGCGUAAAGGGCUUGUAGGUGGCUUGUCGCGUCUGCCGUGAAAGGCUUCAGCUUAACUGGAGUAGUGCGGUGGGUACGGGCUGGCUUGAGUGUGGUAGGGGAGAUUGGAAUUCCUGGUGUAGCGGUGGAAUGCGCAGAUAUCAGGAGGAACACCGGUGGCGAAGGCGGAUCUCUGGGCCAUUACUGACACUGAGGAGCGAAAGCGUGGGGAGCGAACAG
rnacentral:rRNA from 1 species